CCGUUGCCAAGGGAUGGGUCCCUGAGACUUGGCGAAGUGGGAGCCCUGUGUGAUCGUGCGUCAGAGUCGGGGCUGAGACCAGCCCCGGCCAGGGUAGUUACCGGGACGGUCUCCGGAGGCCGGGAUUCGCGGAGGGUCCACCAGCAGGAAGAAACCCCAGGAGGAAGAAACCUCAGACAGAUCGCCGGGGAGGCAGCGCGGGAUCCCAGCCUCAGGCGUGCGCGGACGGUGUGCGGCUACCCAAGGUGCGAAAAAGAAAGAAGGCCGAAGGGAAGAAGGUGGUGCUCACCCUUGCUGUCUUGAAAAAGCAGGAGACCAUGAAAGUGGUGAAUCUUCCAUUUGAGAAAUUUGGCACUGGACAGGACAUUUUGGCAUUGGACAGAACAUCCAGCCCAAAAGGGACCUCACUUACUUUGUCAAAUGGCCCCAUUAUACUAGGUUGCAGCAGCAGAGAGCCAUCCUCUAUAAACAGCUAGAAGUGCCUUCUGUGAUUAAUCAGUUCACCAGGGCCUUGGACCACCAAACAGCUGCUCAAUGGGGUAAGCGGGCUGGCAAGUACAGACCAGAGACAAAGCAAGAGAAACAGCAGAGACUGUUGGCCUGGGCUGAGAAGAAAGCAAAGGAGACAUCCCCACUAAGAGAUCACCUGUCCUUUUAAUGGGGGUUAACGCUGUCACCACCUUAGUGGAGAAAAAGAAGGCUCAGCUGGUGGUGACUGCACAGGACAGAGAUCCCAUUGAGUUGGUUGUCUUCCUGCCUGCCCUGUGUUGUAAACUGGGGGUUCCUUACUGCAUUAUC
rnacentral:lncRNA from 1 species